rnacentral:sRNA from 1 species
CCUGUGCCUGCCUAUAGUCACAGCUACGCAGGAGGAUCGUUUGAGCCCUGGAGUUCUGGGCUGCAGCACACUACCGAUCAGGUGUUCAUGCUAAGUUCAUUCAGCAUUAAUAUGGUGACCUCCUGGGAUGACAGAGAACCACCAGGCUGCCAACAGAGAAGGGAAAACUCCCAAACUGAUCAGUAGUAGGAUUACGCCUGUGAAUAGCCACUGCACUCCAGCCUGAGCAACACAGGAAGAAU